UACAGAGGGGGCAAGCGUUAUUCGGAAUUAUUGGGCGUAAAGGGCGCGUAGGCGGCUUGGCAAGUGGAAGGUGAAAUCCCUCGGCUUAACCGAGGAACUGCCCUCCAAACUGUUUCGCUUGAGACCGGGAGAGGUGAGUGGAAUUCCCAGUGUAGCGGUGAAAUGCGUAGAUAUUGGGAGGAACACCAGUGGCGAAGGCGGCUCACUGGACCGGUACUGACGCUGAUGCGCGAAAGCGUGGGGAGCAAACGGG
rnacentral:rRNA from 1 species